rnacentral:tRNA from 1 species
UGUAGCUUAGUGGUAGAGCACUUGCCUAGCACGUGUGAGGUCCUGGGUUAAAUCCCCAGUA